rnacentral:rRNA from 1 species
UCUACCCCUAGGGUGGGGGAAUAAACUCCUCGAAAGGGGAGCUAAUGCCGACAUGUGCGCCACUCUCGCAAGGGAGUGAUGGAAAGCCGUACCGUGGGUGCGGCGCCCAAGGAUGAGCUCACGUCCUAUCAGCUUGUUGGCGGGGUAACGGCCCACCAAGGCUCCGACGGGUAGCUGGUCUGAGAGGACGACCAGCCACACUGGCACUGCGACACGGGCCAG